UAAACUAAUAUGCGAAAAAGACUAAUGAAUAAAACAUAAAGAAUUGAAAAUACAAUAAAUUAAAACUGUUGCUUAAGUGCAAGAGAAAAACAAGCAGAAGGUAAGGGACUCAGGGACAGCAGCAGGGACUCUGUCCAGGUGCUGCUGCACAUUUCUCAUAUGCUGCUCACAAUGCUCUGUGCAAGAACUACUUAUCAACCCAUUUUACAGAGCAGGACACUCACUCAUCCCACGGUGCUGACCCUGGAUGUGCUAUGGACAGACUGGGGACUCCAGGUGGUCUGUUAGAAAGAGUUUCCGUCUUGUCUUAUUUUUAGCUCUUUACUGUUCUGGAAGACCUCCUCUCACCCCUCCACACGAUGACCUUCUGAAUGACUCUUCCAGCAGUCCCCAGACAAGAAGAGGAGACAAGAAAACAGGCCCACAGGUGAGUUUAGGGUCUGUCUGAGAUGAAUCACAUGUAAGUAGAGGAAGGGCAAGAGUCAUGGAGGAACCAAAGAAGUGGAAGAAGCUACUGAAUUGGUCACUGCCAUCCAGCGGGAGACCCGGGCAAGCCAGCGUGCAGCAGUCCCUGCCUCGCCUUGGGGACAUGUCCUAUAAGGAGCUAGAUUAAGACGCCUCACCUGCCAUGAACCAUUCACUGGAGUAAGGGAGUUAAAAGAGACCCUUGCUUUUCCACUGGCCUCAGAGAGUACCAGCCCCAGUAAAUUAAACUCUGCUCCCUCAGAGUCUCUAAUCACUGGAUGCCUUAGGCAGCAGCCCCUGUAAAUAUCUGGAUGCAGCCCUGUCAGGGGCUCUAAGCACUGACCCCCAACAGCUGUCUGCCUUGGUUUACCCACCACAUGGAUACCAAAGCCAUUGAGAUCUGGGGCCCUUACAGGAACCUGAGGAGGUAAGUCACCCGUUGUUUUGAGUAGAGCAGGAUCAGGAACUUGAAUAUUUGGAGUUGAAUUUGCCAAGGCUGAAUAUUUGGAGUUGAAUUUGCCAGCCUUCUCAACUUUGCCAAGUUGAGAAGGCUGACCCCAAGAAGCUGCUGCCAGAGUGGGUGGAGGCUCCACUCAACCGAGAAGGCCGAUCCCAUGAUUGCCUGGUGCUUUGGGCGGAGGCUCCCUCCUGCUAAGCAUUGACUCCACCAAAAUGGAACAAGUGAAGGAUAAGGAAGACGGCUCAGGAGAAGAUGGUAAUGAAUCAGAGGAGGAGAGCUUGACCUUGGAAAAGCAAUCUGACCUGCAGGAGAAGGCAACAGAAUACUGUAAACCGGAAUGGCCCAGACUGCACUGCUUGAUUGACCCUUGGCCUUCUCUCAAGGCCUCCUGAACCAAGUCAAAAAUAACUAAAGGGGUCUAUAGGAUUUGCCACUGCUGUGCUGGGCUGUCAGGCUUCACGAAAGUGUCAUUCAUUAAGAUGGUUUAUUAUUUUAAAAAUCUAAAUGAUUUUAAAAAGCUUCUAUUAAAAAACCACUGGGAUUUGUCCUCUCUUAAAAAUUAUUACGGCUAAAUUGAAGCCAUUGUUUGAUAGUCUCAGCCUAGAUGUUGUCCCAGAGUCAUUAAGAAAGUUGACUUCUACAGUUAAAAUUUCAUUAACCUUUUUAGAGCCAGACCAGCACUGUUGUCCAAAGAUAUUAAUGUUCACCUGUGAUUCUUCCUCAGACAUGCUGCCUGCUCACACAAAAUCUUUCCCCACAUAAAAAACUUCUACACAACCAAGGGAGCUAAUAACAUCACUGCUUUUAAAAGACUAGAGGACAAGCCCUUUGACUUGUAUACUAACUCUUAAUAUAUAGUCAAGGUAAUCUCUUAUGUUAAAGAAAUGGCUCACCGCCUUCUGGAGGCUUCGCUAUCCUAGCCCUGAUCUUAGAGUUGCGUACGAGUUUACUUCAAUUUAGACGUUUCCCUUUCUUGAUGGAACGCCCUCAAGCUCAUGUUAUGCUUCCUGGGCCUGUGUAUAAAGGUAAAGAGAGCGUCAAUUCCCUGACAAAAGUUGUUGCUUUCUCUGCAGAGCCUGCCUGACAGAGUUAUACAUCAAAACACUGCUGCUCUUUGCUUUCAAAAGCGGUUGGAGCCAUCUUGUAGCAUUUUUUAGCAUGACCUCCCCAUGAUUAUUAACCUGCGGGGCUUGUGUGUGCCUUACAAUCUAUGAUACUUACUCUUACAUUAGCUGUACUUCUGUCUGACCUGGGGAGGCUUUCAACAAGGUCAUACAACAUUUGUUUUACAGUUUUACGACCUUGGGAAUAGCAUAGGGCUUCAAAAACAGGCAGUGCUCCUAGGUCUGUGGCUUUUGACCACUGGCAUUCCCCGUAAUCUCUCAGAACAGGCUGUUGUGAGAGAACACAUCAAGCUAGAAAGACUCAAAUAUUUAAGAUACAAAAUGGAGUUUAUAAACACUCGUCUCAUCAUAUUUUACAAAACAAAUUCUUUUUUCC
rnacentral:sRNA from 1 species